rnacentral:lncRNA from 1 species
GUUUUUGUCAGUGGACUGAGGAAGAAUGUAGAGCUGGUUUGCCUUCGUUGUUUUUCCUUUCUAUUGAAUAUGCUAUUGUCCGGUUGAAAUAUUAUUGAUUAUUUAGACAAUUGACAACCUGAGGAUUAAUUAUAAACAUCGUUUGACAUGUUUCAACAAACUUUACCGGUACUAUUUGUCACGCCCUGACCUGAGAGAGACGGUUUAUUUCUCUAUUUUGUUAGGUCAGGGUGUGGGUUGGCCAUUCUAUGGUUUAUAUUUCAAUGUUUUGGCCAGGUAUGGUUUCCAAUCAGAGGCAGCUGCCUAUCGUUGUCUCUGAUUGGGAACUAUACUUAGGCAGCCCUUUUUCCCUCCUUGUGUUGUGGGAUCUUAUUUUUGUACUGCUGUGUAAAGCCUGCAAGACGUGACGGUCGUGUUCCAUUGUUUGUUAUUUUGUUUAAGUGUUCAGAGUUCAAUUAAAUUCAAGAUGAACACAUACCACACUGCACCUUGGUCUACUCCUUUUGGCGAUUGUUACACUAUUAGGAUGUAUUCGUCUGCAUGUUAUGACCGCCUUGGAGCCAGUGGAUUACUGAACAAAACGCGCCAACAAACAGAGUUUUUGGGAUAUAAAGAGGGACUUUAUCGAACAAAACAAACAUUUAUUGUGUAGCUGGGACUCUUGUGACUGCAACCAUAUCAAGAUCUUCAAAGGUGUACUUUGGAAGAUGACAAAGUAUCCUGAGAGAGAAGGGAAACAAGGUCUUCCGGGAGUCAAGGGCCCAGCGGAAAUCGUCUUCUGGAGGACAGUCGACGUGGGAGAGAGUCAGAGGACAAAACACCUCCCCCUCCCUCCAAAGACCCAACCAACCAGCUUGGCUUCAACACUCGUGACAUUGGUGAGGGGGCUGUUGUCGGAGUCAGUGAGGUGUGGUGGGAGUGGGCUGAGGUUAUGAUGCAUCCAGGGACAUAACUCGCGUGUCACGGAACACUGGAUAGACUCUUGUUUGCCUGCACAUCCCUCAUCCCUCUGUUUUUAUCUGUCCAUGUGUUAUUUUGAUCAUGGCGUCCAUUCCUUCCUGGCUCCUGAUUUCUGGCGGGAGGAGCCGCAGCUGGGAUCCUUCUAAAAAUGGGAAUCGCCACAGACGCUCGCUCCGACUUAUUUUCCCUCUGGAUGUGAGGGAAUGAGGUGGCGUUCCAACACAGAGUGGAAAGAUGUGAUUGCUUCCAUUUGGGGAAAAACAGUCAAAUUCCUGACCCCUCCCCCUUUGACUUCAGGACUUUCAGUCAAUGGCUUGAGUCCCAAAUGGCACCCUAUUCCCUAUAUAGUGCACAAGGUAGCCUAGCGUUUAAGAGCAUUGU